ACUCCUACGGGAGGCAGCAGUGGGGAAUAUUGCACAAUGGGGGAAACCCUGAUGCAGCCAUGCCGCGUGUGUGAAGAAGGCCUUCGGGUUGUAAAGCACUUUCAGUAGGGAGGAAGGUAGUGUAGUUAACACCUGCACUAUUUGACGUUACCUACAGAAGAAGCACCGGCUAACUCCGUGCCAGCAGUCGCGGUAAUACGGAGGGUGCGAGCGUUAAUCGGAAUUACUGGGCGUAAAGCGCAUGCAGGCGGCCUGUUAAGUCAGAUGUGAAAGCCCGGGGCUUAACCUCGGAAUUGCAUUUGAAACUGGCAGGCUAGAGUCUUGUAGAGGGGGGUAGAAUUUCAGGUGUAGCGGUGAAAUGCGUAGAGAUCUGAAGGAAUACCAGUGGCGAAGGCGGCCCCCUGGACAAAGACUGACGCUCAGAUGCGAAAGCGUGGGGAGCAAACAGGAUUAGAUACCCUGGUAGGAUAGCG
rnacentral:rRNA from 1 species